AGCCAUCCACAGCAGCAGCGCUCCUCAUUCGCCACCCAAACCAAUCCACAGCAGCCCGACCACCACCGCGUUGAGCCCGCCUCCUCGUCGCCGAACGUCGCCGAGCUCGCCGAGCCCGCCUCCUCAUUCGCCGUUCACCUACAACUGCGACAACCACACCUUCAACUUCCUCGUCCAUAAUGGCUUCAUUCGGUUUCUCUGUUUUUCUCUCUAGAUCUGUUUCCUCUGAUUCAAUUUUGUGUAUAUAUAUGUAUACAUUUUUGUGUAAAUUGUGUUGUUUUGAAUUUGAUUUGUUUUGUUUGAAUGGUGCAGUACUGAAAUUGAUCUGGUUUUGAAACUUUAAUUAAAAUAAAAAAAAAAAAAAGAAACUGAUGAUCCUCUUCUAAGCUCACUGUCACCACCGUCAUUCCUCCCUCGCCAUGUCUCCAUGGAAGAUGAAA